rnacentral:rRNA from 1 species
UACGAAGGACCCGAGCGUUAUCCGGAUUUAUUGGGUUUAAAGGGUGCGUAGGCGGACUAAUAAGUCAGUGGUGAAAGCCCAUCGCCUAACGGUGGAAUUGCCAUUGAUACUGUUAGUCUUGAGUAUGGUUGAGGUGGGCGGAAUGUGUCAUGUAGCGGUGAAAUGCCUAGAUAUGACCCAGAACACCAAUUGCGAAGGCAGCUCGCUAAGCCAUAACUGACGCUGAGGCACGAAAAGCGUGGGGAGCAAACAGG